rnacentral:rRNA from 1 species
GACAGAGGGUGCAAACGUUGCUCGGAAUCACUGGGCGUAAAGCGCACGUAGGCGGCUAUUCAAGUCAGAGGUGAAAGCCCGGGGCUCAACCCCGGAACUGCCUUUGAAACUAGAUAGCUAGAAUCUUGGAGAGGUCAGUGGAAUUCCGAGUGUAGAGGUGAAAUUCGUAGAUAUUCGGAAGAAACACCAGUGGCGAAGGCGACUGACUGGACAAGUAUUG